CGGAAUGCCAGGCAAGAGGCCGGGGUAAUACUGAGGAGCCAAGCGUUAUCCUGAAUGAUUGGGUUGAAAGGGUCAGUAGGCGGCCGUAGAAGUCAGCGGGGAAAGGUUUUGGCUUAACCAAAAAAUUGGCAUUGAUACUGUAGUGCUUGAAUAUUUGUGAAGUAACUAGAAUAUGUAGUGUAGCGGUGAAAUGCUUAGAUAUUACAUGGAAUACCAAUUGCGAAGGCAGGUUACUAACAAAUGAUUGACGCUGAUGGACGAAAGCGUGGGUAGCGAACAGGAUUAGAUACCCCGGUAGUC
rnacentral:rRNA from 1 species